rnacentral:rRNA from 1 species
CACGGACCGCACGAGCGUUAUUCGGAAUCACUGGGCUUAAAGGGUGCGUAGGCGGCUUUGCAAGUUGGGUGUGAAAGCCCUCGGCUCAACCGAGGAAUUGCGCUCAAUACUGCCGAGCUCGAGAGAGACAGAGGUAAGCGGAACUGAUGGUGGAGCGGUGAAAUGCGUUGAUAUCAUCAGGAACACCGGUGGCGAAGGCGGCUUACUGGGUCUUUUCUGACGCUGAGGCACGAAAGCCAGGGGAGCGAACGGG